GUGCAGCAGUCGCGAAAACUUUGCAAUAAGCGAAAGCUUGACAGGGCUAUCCCGAGUGCCGUCCGCUGAGGAUGGCUUUUCCCCAGUGUAGAUAGCUGGGGGAAUAAGGAGAGGGCAAGUCUGGUGUCAGCCGCCGCGGUAAUACCAGCUCUCCGAGUGGUGGGGAUGUUUAUUGGGCCUGAAGCAUCCGUAGCUGGCUGAGCAAGUUCUCCGUUAAAUCCUGCGAUUUAAUCGUUGGACUGCGGGGGAUACUGUUCGGCUAGGGGGCGGGAGAGGCCGACGGUAUUCUCGGGGUAGGGGUGAAAUCCUAUAAUCCCGGGAAGACCACCAGUGGCGAAGGCUGUCGGCUAGAACGCGCCCGACGGUGAGGGAUGAAAGCUGGGGGAGCGAACCGGAUUAGAUACCCGCGUAGUCC
rnacentral:rRNA from 1 species